CGCUUACCUGAGGCGGCGGCGGCGGGGAGGAGAGGCUGCGCUCCUGCUUCUGGCCGCCGCGGAAGGAGAUCAGGAGAGAAACGCUCGCCUAUACUGAAAGGGAAUAAACAGACAAAAGGAUCAUGACAGCGAUGAUGACAUACCCUUUGUUAUAAGGAUUAAUUAAAAAGUCACACAGAAGGAAGUCAACUCUCCUGAAGAAGGCAGGAGGAAAGAUUGCUCAGUUUUCAAUCCAGAAAUGAACAAGUCUGCACCUCCUGAUCUGUGUUUCCAGACUUAAAGGACAUCAAAGCCUGAUGCCACCAAAAUCUACAACCUGUGUCAGGGAAUGAAGACCUUAACUUGAAAGCAUCUGAAAAGAGCAAAAGCAAGCAGCAGACAGGAACUGGAAGGGUGCAAAUAUGCUGGGAUCUGAGAGGAUCAUGAACCCACACACAGCAAGCAGCAGGCAGUAAUGAUGAUUAAUUAUUGAAGAAAAACCAAGAGCAUCAGCUCAGGCAGGGUGGAAAAAAGGAUACGGAAACAUCGCUCUGGGAUCCUUCUGUCAGAGGCACCUUAAUUAGCUCACUAUGGGAAGCAGAGAGAAAUAUCCAAAGCCAUUUUAUGCUCGUAUGAGGUGGGAGACCAGCAAUUAAGGCAUCUGUUUAUCCUUUGUAACUGACCGAGAUUGCUUUUGAUGGAAUUACAGGCUUAAUACAAUUUUUAAAAC